rnacentral:rRNA from 1 species
GAUGAACGCUGGCGGCGUGCCUAAUACAUGCAAGUCGAGCGAACAGACGUGGUACUUGCUCCUCUUACAUUAGCGGCGGACGGGUGAGUAACACGUGGAUAACCUGCCUAUAAGACUGGGAUAACUUCGGGAAACCGGAGCUAAUACCGGAUAAUAUAUUUAACCACAUGGUUCAAUAUUGAAAGACGGUUUUGCUUUACCUUAUAGAUGGAUCCGCGUCUAUUUGGCUAGUUGGUAAGGUAACGGCUUACCAAGGCAAGGAUCAGUAGCCGACCGGAGAGGGGGAUCGGCCACACUGGAACUGAGACACGGUCCAGACUCCUACGGGAGGCAGCAGAAGGGAAUCUUCCGCAAUGGGCGAAAGCCUGACGGAGCAACGCCGCGUGAGUGAUGAAGGUCUUCGGAUCGUAAAACUCUGUUAUUAGGGAAGAACAAAUGUGUAAGUAACUAUGCACGUCUUGACGGUACCUAAUCAGAAAGCCACGGCUAACUACGUG